rnacentral:rRNA from 1 species
UACAGAGGGUGCAAGCGUUAAUCGGAAUUACUGGGCGUAAAGCGCGCGUAGGUGGUUCGUUAAGUUGGAUGUGAAAUCCCCGGGCUCAACCUGGGAACUGCAUUCAAAACUGUCGAGCUAGAGUAUGGUAGAGGGUGGUGGAAUUUCCUGUGUAGCGGUGAAAUGCGUAGAUAAUAGGAAGGAACACCAGUGGCGAAGGCGACCACCUGGACUGAUACUGACACUGAGGUGCGAAAGCGUGGGGAGCAAACAGG